rnacentral:rRNA from 1 species
UAGGGAAUAUUGGACAAUGGGCGCAAGCCUGAUCCAGCCAUGCCGCGUGAGUGAAGAAGGCCCUCGGGUUGUAAAGCUCUUUUGUCCGGAAAGAAAAGCAUCGGGUUAAUACCCCGGUGUUCUGACGGUACCGGAAGAAUAAGCACCGGCUAACUUCGUGCCAGCAGCCGCGGUAAUACGAAGGGUGCAAGCGUUACUCGGAAUUACUGGGCGUAAAGCGUGCGUAGGCGGUUGCCAAAGUCGGGUGUGAAAGCCUUGAGCUCAACUCAAGAAUAGCACUCGAUACUUGGUGGCUAGAGGACCGGAGAGGAUAGUGGAAUUCCCAGUGUAGUGGUGAAAUACGUAGAGAUUGGGAAGAACACCAGUGGCGAAGGCGGCUAUCUGGACGGUUACUGACGCUAAGACGCGAAAGCGUGGGGAGCAAACA